AGGGUAGAGAUUGUUGUGAAGGGAACAUGGUCACCAGAAUUAAAAUGCCACAAAAAAAGCACUGAAAAAAAGUAAUUGUUGACCUUGCUGAGGAGAAUUUCAAUGGAGUAGCUGUGGGAGAAAGCUCAUUACAUUCCCAGAAAAUUGGAGCAAGUGUGGAGGACGGGGGCAGUUAGAUUCAUCAUGAAAAAAGAUUUUGUUUUUUGGAUCCCUUUGCAAACAACAGAACAAGGACAUGGAGAAUGCUGGCAAGCAUGAUGGACAACAAAGAAAGAAGUGAAGAUGAAAGGGAAUGAAUAGCAGUCCUAUAAGGGGAGGGAGGAGAACCUGGACAAAAAAAAAAAAAAAAAAAAAAAAAAAAAAAAAAAAGGAAGUUGCUGAGAAGUCCAGAGAAACCCAGGAUUAUGGACUACAAAUCUGACCUAAGGUUUAGAAGCCUUCAGAAUCAAGGAACUAGAAAACGAAUUAUAAAUAGACUUGAAUUAGUCUGCAUUCUGUGGCAAACUCAUUUAUAUGUUUUCCAGAAGCUAUGAUCAGCAUCAACACUGAAAUGUCUCUGAAACCAAUUUUACUGUACUUACAUACCUGAGCAAAUAUUUUUAAAAGAUGUUGGCUUUGACCCGUAUUUUCAACAUGAUGGCUGAUUCCUGUGCUUCUCCUAUGCAUAUUCCUUUUCCAUCUCCACGACUUUGAGGAAUUCUUGGACCAAGAACAGUGAUUUAAGAUGGUCAAACUCUUUCCACCAGUCCUUGAACAAUUCCAUGACCUGUCUGUCUAAAACAAAUCCUAUAUUAGAAGUGAGUUGCAGUUAUUAAGCUAUAUCCUUGUGGAGGCAGAAAGUUAAUG